UACGGGAGGCAGCAGUGGGGAAUAUUGCACAAUGGGCGAAAGCCUGAUGCAGCUAUGCCGCGUGUAUGAAGAAGGCCUUAGGGUUGUAAAGUACUUUCAUCGGGGAGGAAAAAACAAAACUAAUAAUUUUAUUUCUUGACGUUACCCGAAAAAGAAGCACCGGCUAACUCCGUGCCAGCAGCCGCGGUAAUACGGAGGGUGCUAGCGUUAAUCAGAAUUACUGGGCGUAAAGAGCACGUAGGUGGUUUUUUUAAGUCAGAUGUGAAAUCCCUGGGCUUAACCUGGAACUGCAUUUUGAAACUGAAAUACUAGAGUAUCGUAGAGGGAGGUAGAAUUCUAGGUGUAGCGGUGAAAUGCGUAGAUAUCUGGAGGAAUACCUGUGGCGAAAAGCGGCCUCCUAAAACGAAAUACUGAACACUGAGGUGCGAAAAGCGUGGGGAGCAAAACAGGGAUUAGAUACC
rnacentral:rRNA from 1 species